rnacentral:misc_RNA from 1 species
UUCCUUCCUGGGCAUCGUCCAGUUACCAUGGACGGAACAUAUUAUCUGAUACUGCGAUGGUUCGCCGCCUUCUCAAAUUAAAGGAGAGACGUGAUCUACUCUAAACCUCUAAAGUUAUAUUUGCACUAAACAAGAGGACAGACAUAAUAAAGAUAAGAUAGACAUGCUUGACAUUUUUUUUGUUCUUUAUAUAUUUUUAAUUUUAACUUUUGAAUCUAAAGAGGAAAUGGAUGGAAUUCAGAUCAACAAAUAAAUUUUAAAUAGCCAUGCAUAAAUCAUUAUUAGUGAUAAAAAUUGAAAAUUUAGAUGAAAUUAGUGCAGAAAUUAACAUCCAUAACGAGGAAAAUAUUUUAAAAAAUAUAAAAUUUUAUCUCAAUAUUUUCAUGUAUAUAU